UAACUGAAGAGUUUGAUCAUGGCUCAGAUUGAACGCUGGCGGCAGGCUUAACACAUGCAAGUCGAGCGGGGGAAGGUAGCUUGCUACCGGACCUAG
rnacentral:rRNA from 1 species